rnacentral:rRNA from 1 species
GAUCAAGCGUCAAAAGGGCAUCCGGGGGAUGUCUUGGCGGUAAGAGGCGAUGAAAGACGUGGCACUCUGCGAUAAGCACCGGGGAGGCGAGAGCACCCUUUGAUCCGGUGAUUUCUGAAUGGGGAAACCCAUCUCCGAGAUGUUGGAUAAUUCGAGCGCUUCGGCGCUCGACCUGUCUAACAUUUCACUAGUGAGAUAUUUUAACCUGAAUACAUAGGGUUAAAAAGCAAACCCAGGGAAUUGAAACAUCUAAGUACCUGGAGGAAAGGACAUCAAUUGAGACUCCGUUAGUAGUGGCGAGCGAACGCGGACCAGGCCUGGUCUGAAACAAGGCGAAGCAUCUGGGAAGGUGCGCCAUAGUGGGUGAUAGCCCCGUAGCCGUAAAAUGAAGACCUUUUAGAGUAGGGCGGGACACGUGAAAUCCUGUCUGAACAUGGGGGGACCACCCUCCAAGCCUAAGUACUCCUUACCGACCGAUAGUGAACAAGUACCGUGAGGGAAUGAUGAAAAGCACCCCGAUGAGGGGAGUGAAACAGAUCCUGAAACCGGAUGCCUACAAGCUGAUGGAGCCGCAAGGUGACAUCGUACCUUUUGUAUAAUGGGUCAGCGACUUAGUGUUGCGUGCAAGCUUAAGCCGUUAGGUGUAGGCACAGCGAAAGCGAGUCUUAAUAGGGCGAUUGAGUACGUAGCAUUAGACCCGAAGGCAAGUGAUCUAGGUAUGGGCAGGCUGAAGGUGCAGUAACAUGCACUGGAGGGCCGAACCGUUGAGCGUUGAAAAGCUCUCGGAUGACCUGUGCCUAGGGGUGAAAGGCCAAUCAAACUUGCUGAUAGCUGGUUCUCCGCGAAAACUAUUUAGGUAGUGCGUCACGAUGAGACUCUGGGGGGUAGAGCACUGAAUGGGCUAGGGGUCCUCACCGGAUUACCAAACCUUCUCAAACUCCGAAUACCCAGAAGUUAUGCGUGGCAGACACACGGCGGGUGCUAACGUCCGUCGUGAAGAGGGAAACAACCCAGACCGCCGAUUAAGGCCCCCAAGUUAUAGCUAAGUGCGAAACGAUGUGGAGGUGCUGAGACAAUCAGGAGGUUGGCUUAGAAGCAGCCAUCCUUUAAAGAAAGCGUAACAGCUCACUGAUCAAGCGCCUCUGCGCGGAAAAUGUAUCGGGACUAAAGUUAUACGCCGAAAUCGCGGGCUCAGUAAUGAGCGGUAGCGGAGCGUUCCGUAAGCCUGUGAAGGUGAACCGUGAGGUUUGCUGGAGGUAUCGGAAGUGAGAAUGCUGACAUGAGUAGCGACAAAGAGGGUGAGAGACCCUCUCGCCGAAAGACCAAGGGUUCCUGCGUAAAGUUAAUCUGCGCAGGGUUAGCCGGCCCCUAAGGCAAGGCCGAAAGGCGUAGUCGAUGGGAACCACGUUAAUAUUCGUGGGCCAAGGGAUGAGUGACGGAUUUCGAAAGUUGUAUCCUCUUAUUGGAUUGAGGAUGCGGCCUGGAAGUCCCUGGAAAUAGCCUCCCUAUUAGACCGUACCCGAAACCGACACAGGUGGUCAGGUAGAGCAUACCAAGGCGCUUGAGAGAACUAUGUUGAAGGAACUCGGCAAAUUACCUCCGUAACUUCGGGAGAAGGAGGCCUCACAUUGGGCAACCAGUGCUGAGGGGCACAAAACUGGGGGUUGCGACUGUUUAUCAAAAACACAGGGCUCUGCGAAGCCGUAAGGCGACGUAUAGGGUCUGACGCCUGCCCGGUGCCGGAAGGUUAAAAGGAGAUGUGCAAGCAUUGAAUUGAAGCCCCGGUGAACGGCGGCCGUAACUAUAACGGUCCUAAGGUAGCGAAAUUCCUUGUCGGGUAAGUUCCGACCUGCACGAAUGGCGUAACGACUUCCCCACUGUCUCCAACAUAGACUCAGCGAAAUUGAAUUCCCCGUGAAGAUGCGGGGUACCCGCGGUCAGACGGAAAGACCCCGUG